GGGGGCCCAAAGUCAGUUAAGCAGAAGGUACCAGCGGGCAGCACAUCGCCCCCGGGGACUGAGAACAUCUUGAAAUGACACCUUGGAGUUGUCUGACAAAAUUGACAUCUAGGAAAAGUCCCCGGACCCACAGAACCCUGAGCCUCUGCACACACUGAACCUGACUUCAGACAAGGUCCCUCCUUCUCUAAUGCUCCCGCUCCUGCUUCCAGGUCCUCCACUGAGGCUCCGAACACCAUGCCUAUCACUAAGAUCCCCAAGGCGAGCCAGCCCUUAUGGAUGGAAUGGGAUCGGAAGGCCCAGAAGAGUGGCCUGAGACACGAAGUCUAUGCAGUCAAUGGCGACUGCUAUGUUGGGGAGUGGCAAGACAAUAAGAAACACGGAAAAGGAAUCCAGAAAUGGAAAAAGAGUGGAGCUAUUUACCAUGGAGAUUGGAAGUAUGGGAAGAGAGAUGGUUAUGGGAUCCUCAGCCUUCCUGACUCUAAGAAAAGAUAUAGGAAGGUCUACUCUGGCUGGUGGUCCAACGACAAGAGAAGUGGUCAUGGCAUCUGGUACUAUGCGCCCAGCGAAUACUAUGAAGGAGAGUGGAAGGACGGCCUCCGAAGUGGAUGGGGCCGCAUGUUUUAUGCCAAUGGAGAUAUCUAUGAGGGCCAGUGGAACCUGGGCCUGAGAGAGGGCGAGGGCAUGCUCCGCCUAAAUAAUGGAAACCGCUAUGAAGGCUUUUGGCAGCAAGGGAUGAAGAAUGGGAAGGGCCGCUUCUUCUAUGUGGACCACGGACAACUCUUUGAGGGCUUCUGGGUAGAUGAUAUGGCCAAAUGUGGGACCAUGAUUGACUUUGGUCGAGAUGAAGCCCCCGAGCCCACCAAGUAUCCCAUUCCGCAGGUGGAACUGCAGAAUCCCGACAAGGUGCUGGAGGAAGCCGUAGCCAAGUUCAUGCAGGAGACGUACUGAAACCAUUUGCAGGAACGACAACCGAGGCUGAAUCAGUGGAAGCAAUUUGGGGGGCUGGUCAGGAGCCCCCCAUUCCCCAAGGCCGAGUCAUCAGGGCCCUUGGGAGGAGAGGCCAUUCAGGAUGAGGACUCUGCUCAGAGAGGGCAGCUUAACACUGGCCAAAGUCACAGAGCAAGUUAGCAGCCGAGGGCAGGACUAGAACUCGAGGCUCGUGGCCCCCCAUCUGGGGGCUCCGGUCACUGAUCUUCGAGAUGUACACUCCCCGUACCCUUUUUACCCAGUGUAAUAUGAAGAGUGUUUUUGGGAUUUUUUUUAUUACUCAAGUAAAAGUUUGGUCAUCACCAUUUCCCAAUACA